CUGGCCUGAGGCACCGGGGUCCCGCCCGCCCGCGGCGCGCGUCGCUCACCCCCGGUACGGGGUUGUCGGCUCUUUGGCCUUUUCCGCUGCUCGCAGCCACGCGCUGCCCUCCGAGUGCGUUUCCCCGAGCAGAUUCACGUCUCUACGUUGCUAAGAGUGCUUGCAAGGCCUGGGCUGGGCAGCCCGUGGCGGCGGAUUUUCCAUCCCGCUGCCCCUCAGCCACCCCAGGGCCGCCGGGGCUGUUGCGGCCCAGAGCCCUGCUGUGCGGCUGCGCUUCUGGAGCCGCGGAUUUCCAGAAGAUGCCAGCUUUUGCUCUUGCUAGGGCGUUUGCAUUAUGAAAAUAAAAAAUGAAGGGCUCAUCCGCGAGCCAGGCGAUGUCCUCCUGUCACAGACAGAGGCUGUCACCUCUGCCGUUGCUGCACGGAUCGUUGCCUCCUUGAAAGGCAGAUGAAGCCCUAUGCUUUGCAUAGCUGGAAUGGCUGGCUGGCCUCCUGCUUUGGAUGGUGUCACCAGAAGAGCCUUGCCACACUGUGUGCACUGUGUGUGUCAGGCGCCUUUUGUCACAAAAGCACUUUGGGUUCAGCUUCAUUGAAAUCAGUGGCCAAGUUCCAUGUUCUACAGCACAGACAAAGCAAAUAGAGAGUCCAUAGAAAUGCAGUGUGCAUGAGAUAUGUGAGGGGAGGAAAUAAUGGGAUUAAACCAGCCGUGAGAGCAGCCACGUACAAACUGAAGAGCCGCCCCAGAGAGGUAUUCUUUGGAGACAAAAAGAUUCAGCUCUGAGCUGGUAUCACACAAAAAAAUGAUGGGAGAACAAGACUAAGAUGAAUGCUGGUGUUGGGAGGUUGCGGGGGGAGAUACCCACAUAAAGAACAAAGAGAAAAGGUUAAGCCCUGCCAUGGUGACAUCUCUGUCUCCUCCUUUACAUUUUGGGGUUUGGUUUAUGGAAGUAUGAUUUAAGAAUGGCAUAACAGACAUCUAACAAAGAAGCCUGCAUGUAUAGUGGAGCUGAAACUUUAUAUGGAUAGCACAGCAGCAAUGUCUGGUGCCGCAGGAAUUUAAUUCUGUUCUGAGCUCCCCAACAAAAGAAAAUUCGAUGUGUUUCUUCCCUCUCUUUUCGUGAACAUGAUGAAUGAAAAAGGCCUGAGGGUUGCAUUAUUUGUUUUUAAUAUGAAUGGCUGGUCUGUUCCACCAAUAGGCUUGGCUCUGGAGCAGAACAACUGAAAGCUGAGUCCAGUCACCAAACUCCACUAAACUUUGCCUCACAGUUUUGCAAGAGCAAUGAUGGAAAAGGGCAAGACGAGGGAAUAAGAAAAUUUCUUACAUUUUUUAGAAGAGCAGAUACUGUACUUCAGCUGUCUCAAAAAUCUCAGGGCCUUUUUCCUACCAGAUAAAAAGGAGCAAAAGAGGUCAACAAGCUACUCUCAAGCUGCCUGUGAGAAGCUUGUUGAUGCUUCCUAUUCCUAGCAAUUACAGACUUUAUGUGCCUUUUGAGACUAGGUACAGAGCAACUCAAAAGUUUAUUUGUGCCAUCAACUUAAUUCUUCCAUCCUGGUUAACUCCUAGAGAGUCAUCUGUCAGAAAGUAAAACAGAAUCACAGAAUCAACUAGGCUGGAAAAGACCUUUGAGAUCAUGAAGUCCAACCUGUGACCUAACACCACUUUGUCAACUAACAGUGCAUGGUAUCUUUUUGACAAGCCCUGCUGUUUCCAAUACCAAAGCAGUGAAGUUGGGCCAAAUCCCUUGACCCUUCAGGAAGAUGUGCACUGCACCUAUAAGGCUUCAAGGAGUGGCACUUCUUUUUGAGGCUUUCAAUCAAAAAGAGAGGGGCCAAGCAAUUAUGCCAUAAGUUUUUCCCUGGGUCUCCCCUUUUGGUCCCCCCAGGUGAACAGAGGCACCAUUUCUGUUCCUUCCUUCCUCCCCCUCUAUGCUUCCCAAGCUUCUGCUCUGCUUUCCGUGGGGAACUGUUUCUGAUUUAGCUGAAACUGUACUGGUUUACCCAUCACAGAGCACCUGACUUCUUUAACAUCAUACAUGAAGCUUUAUCAGAGCUGAUGCAAGAAAAUCUCUUAUACAACAUAGAAUUUGAGAUUAAAUAUGCCCACCUUGACAUCCCCUUAAAGUUAAUCUCACAGGCAGUGCAUGUGUCAGACCAUCUGCAAAGAAAAAAGCGUGGCCAAGCUGUACAUGAAAACUGCUCCAUUAGAAGAAACUGCCUCUGUAGCACUGCAUGUUCUCUAUCUGGUUCAGAGCUGCAUUCUCAGGCCUUCAAAAUCCUAAAAAAGUAUUACAUGUUUUUUAAGAAUUUA